GUGGGGAAUAUUCCGCAAUGGACGAAAGUCUGACGGAGCAACGCCGCGUGAGUGAUGAAGGUUUUCGGACUGUAAAGCUCUGUUGUUUAGGACGAAAGUGCCUGUUGCAAAUAGUUACAGGUAUUGACGGUACUGAACGAGGAAGCCACGGCUAACUACGUGCCAGCAGCCGCGGUAAUACGUAGGUGGCAAGCGUUGUCCGGAAUUAUUUGGCGUAAAGAGCAUGUAGGCGGGAAUCUAAGUCUGUUGUGAAAAUGCGGGGCUCAACCCCGUAUUGCGAUGGAAACUGGGUUUCUUGAGUGCAGGAGAGGAAAGGGGAAUUCCCAGUGUAGCGGUGAAAUGCGUAGAUAUUGGGAGGAACACCAGUGGCGAAGGCGCCUUUCUGGACUGUGUCUGACGCUGAGAUGCGAAAGCCAGGGUAGCGAACGGGAUUAGAAACCCUUGUAGUCC
rnacentral:rRNA from 1 species